rnacentral:lncRNA from 1 species
AUUCUCCACCAACAACCCGAGAGGGCCCGUUGCCCACAGAUCCAGCUGGGAAGGACCGACUGGAGGGUGCUGCAGACAAGGGCAGAGGGUGAAGGGGGACGUGGACACGCGGGCACGUGUACGUGCCUGGACUGCCAACACUUCCUGACCAGGCAGCCCAGCCCUGCCCUGCCCAGCUGGCCUGGACACCUCUGGCCCACCCCCCAGGGCUAAGCCGGGGCUCCGGGCUGCAUGUGCAUGUGGGGCUCACCCCCCCUUGUCUCCAGCAGCAGGAUGGACACCCGGGGCUGAGUGUACUCUGUGAAUCCCUGUCUCUGCUUCUUCAAUCGCCCUCUGCCCUUCCUCGAGGUCUCGGGCUGGUCUACGUGGCCCCUUUUCCUUGUUGGCCUCAGUCAGCCCAUCAAUGCCCAGGUCUGCUCGCGCCCCGGGUCGGUCCCCAGCCCCAAGUUCCGGAGGCGCUUCUGCUGUCUCUGGAUUCCACUUCCAGGCCAGUAAAGCUCCUCACAUCCCAAACGCUCCUCUGCCGUGUCACUCCAAAGGCCACAUUUCCAGAGAGGGCUACAGAGAGGGCUCCAGAGCCCAGUGAGGCCAUGGGCCCUGCCACGGGCCUGCGCUUCCCGGUCACCCUCAUCUCCUGGCCACGGUGCGCCCUCACCCACUUCUUUCCCUGGCCUCCCCCUGUGCUGUGGACACACCAGGGCCUCCCGGCCUCCCUGCCCUGGACCUCUGUCUGCCCUGCAGGUAUCUGCCUUCUGUUCUCGGUGACAGUGGGGUUCCCCUCCGCAUUCCUGCCUCCUUUCCCUCCUUGCACUUAAAACAAAAAGAAGAAUCUGAUCACACCCUGCAAAAUCC